GAGGGAGGAGUGUGUUUCCUGGCGGAGCGAUAUUUGUUUACAGGAUGAGAUCUAUACUGUAAGUAAAGUAGGACCGAGCAAAGGCAGUUCUGUAAUAAAUUAGUUUAAAUUGCAUCAUCGACGCCCCCCCAAAAGGGAAAACUUGUGCCCAGUCCGGCCAGGUCUGUGCUCCCGGAUCCUGCAUGCACUUGUUGCAGAUUUACACCAGAAGCCAGCUCAGGAAGACAUUAGAAAGUUGAUCUCAAAAAUACAACAGGUAACAUAAGUUAUAGUUUUAUUUUCUUUGCUACAAAUUAUGGAGAAUGUGGCAAGUAU
rnacentral:lncRNA from 1 species